rfam:Calypte anna contig27732, whole genome shotgun sequence.
AUGACUGAUUUCUUUUGGUGUUCAGAGUCAAUAAUACUUUCUAGCACCAUUUGAAAUCGGUUAU